rnacentral:sRNA from 1 species
UAUCCUUGAAGAAAUCAGCGAACAGUUCCACCGCUGAAAGAAGCCGUUCAGACAACGUUGACGACCCCCAAAGUCGGUCUAUACUAAAUUUGCUGUGGAAAAUCUUCAGCGCCCCGUGAGGGGGAAUCUCAGAAAUACAGGAAAGAUCAAUGUCAGAUACAAAAACAGGCAGCGUAAAGUGGUUUAACGAAUCCAAAGGGUUCGGCUUCAUUGCUCAGGACGGCGGCGAUGACGUCUUUGUGCACUACAGUGCCAUCAACUCUGGCGGGUUCCGUACCCUGACCGAAGGUCAGCAAGUACAGUUCACCGUCACACAGGGCCCAAAAGGCCCACAGGCGGAAAACGUAACACCCGUUUAACCUUUGCCCCUCACGGGCAUGGAAGAAUGCAACAAGCCGGCACCUGUGCCGGCUUGUUGCA